UGGGGAAUAUUGGACAAUGGGCGCAAGCCUGAUCCAGCAACGCCGCGUGGAGGAUGAAGGUCUUCGGAUCGUAAACUCCUGUCAGAUGGGACGAAGGUUCGUAUACAAACAGUGUAUGAGCUUGACGGUACCAUCAGAGGAAGCCCCGGCUAACUCCGUGCCAGCAGCCGCGGUAAUACGGAGGGGGCGAGCGUUAUUCGGAAUUAUUGGGCGUAAAGGGCGCGUAGGCGGCUUGAUAAGUCAAAGGUGAAAUCCCUCGGCUCAACUGAGGAACUGCCUUUGAAACUGUGAGGCUUGAGGCCGGGAGAGGGUAGUGGAAUUCCCAGUGUAGCGGUGAAAUGCGUAGAUACUGGGAGGAACACCAGUGGCGAAGGCGGCUACCUGGACCGGUACUGACGCUGAUGCGCGAAAGCGUGGGUAGCAAACAGGAUUAGAUACCCCCGUAGUCC
rnacentral:rRNA from 1 species